rnacentral:rRNA from 1 species
UUAAGCGACUAAGCGUACACGGUGGAUGCCCUGGCAGUCAGAGGCGAUGAAGGACGUGCUAAUCUGCGAAAAGCGUCGGUAAGGUGAUAUGAACCGUUAUAACCGGCGAUGUCCGAAUGGGGAAACCCAGUGCAAUUCGUUGCACUAUCGUUAACUGAAUACAUAGGUUAACGAGGCGAACCGGGGGAACUGAAACAUCUAAGUACCCCGAGGAAAAGAAAUCAACCGAGAUUCCCCCAGUAGCGGCGAGCGAACGGGGAGCAGCCCAGAGUCUGAAUCAGCUUGUGUUAGUGGAACGGUCUGGAAAGUCCGACGGUACAGGGUGAUAGUCCCGUACACCAAAAUGCACAGGCUGUGAACUCGAAGAGUAGGGCGGGACACGUGGUAUCCUGUCUGAAUAUGGGGGGACCAUCCUCCAAGGCUAAAUACUCCUGACUGACCGAUAGUGAACCAGUACCGUGAGGGAAAGGCGAAAAGAACCCCGGCGAGGGGAGUGAAAAAGAACCUGAAACCGUGUACGUACAAGCAGUGGGAGCACCUUCGGGUGUGACUGCGUACCUUUUGUAUAAUGGGUCAGCGACUUAUAUUCUGUAGCAAGGUUAACCGUAUAGGGGAGCCGCAGGGAAACCGAGUCUUAACUGGGCGUUAAGUUGCAGGGUAUAGACCCGAAACCCGGUGAUCUAGCCAUGGGCAGGUUGAAGGUUGGGUAACACUAACUGGAGGACCGAACCGACUAAUGUUGAAAAAUUAGCGGAUGACUUGUGGCUGGGGGUGAAAGGCCAAUCAAACCGGGAGAUAGCUGGUUCUCCCCGAAAGCUAUUUAGGUAGCGCCUCGUGAACUCAUCUUCGGGGGUAGAGCACUGUUUCGGCUAGGGGGUCAUCCCGACUUACCAACCCGAUGCAAACUACGAAUACCGAAGAAUGUUAUCACGGGAGACACACGGCGGGUGCUAACGUCCGUCGUGAAGAGGGAAACAACCCAGACCGCCAGCUAAGGUCCCAAAGUCAUGGUUAAGUGGGAAACGAUGUGGGAAGGCACAGACAGCCAGGAUGUUGGCUUAGAAGCAGCCAUCAUUUAAAGAAAGCGUAAUAGCUCACUGGUCGAGUCGGCCUGCGCGGAAGAUGUAACGGGGCUAAACCAUGCACCGAAGCUGCGGCAGCGACACUAUGUGUUGUUGGGUAGGGGAGCGUUCUGUAAGCCUGCGAAGGUGUGCUGUGAGGCAUGCUGGAGGUAUCAGAAGUGCGAAUGCUGACAUAAGUAACGAUAAAGCGGGUGAAAAGCCCGCUCGCCGGAAGACCAAGGGUUCCUGUCCAACGUUAAUCGGGGCAGGGUGAGUCGACCCCUAAGGCGAGGCCGAAAGGCGUAGUCGAUGGGAAACAGGUUAAUAUUCCUGUACUUGGUGUUACUGCGAAGGGGGGACGGAGAAGGCUAUGUUAGCCGGGCGACGGUUGUCCCGGUUUAAGCAUGUAGGCUGAUUGUCCAGGCAAAUCCGGAUAAUCAAGGCUGAGGUGUGAUGACGAGGCACUACGGUGCUGAAGUAACAAAUGCCCUGCUUCCAGGAAAAGCCUCUAAGCAUCAGGUAACAUCAAAUCGUACCCCAAACCGACACAGGUGGUCAGGUAGAGAAUACCAAGGCGCUUGAGAGAACUCGGGUGAAGGAACUAGGCAAAAUGGUGCCGUAACUUCGGGAGAAGGCACGCUGGUGUGUAGGUGAAGUCCCUGCGGAUGGAGCUGAGACCAGUCGAAGAUACCAGCUGGCUGCAACUGUUUAUUAAAAACACAGCACUGUGCAAACACGAAAGUGGACGUAUACGGUGUGACGCCUGCCCGGUGCCGGAAGGUUAAUUGAUGGGGUUAUCCGUAAGGAGAAGCUCUUGAUCGAAGCCCCGGUAAACGGCGGCCGUAACUAUAACGGUCCUAAGGUAGCGAAAUUCCUUGUCGGGUAAGUUCCGACCUGCACGAAUGGCGUAAUGAUGGCCAGGCUGUCUCCACCCGAGACUCAGUGAAAUUGAACUCGCUGUGAAGAUGCAGUGUACCCGCGGCAAGACGGAAAGACCCCGUGAACCUUUACUAUAGCUUGACACUGAACAUUGAGCCUUGAUGUGUAGGAUAGGUGGGAGGCUUUGAAGCGUGGACGCCAGUCUGCGUGGAGCCAACCUUGAAAUACCACCCUUUAAUGUUUGAUGUUCUAACGUUGGCCCCUGACCGGGGUUGCGGACAGUGUCUGGUGGGUAGUUUGACUGGGGCGGUCUCCUCCCAAAGCGUAACGGAGGAGCACGAAGGUUAGCUAAUCCUGGUCGGACAUCAGGAGGUUAGUGCAAUGGCAUAAGCUAGCUUGACUGCGAGCGUGACGGCGCGAGCAGGUGCGAAAGCAGGUCAUAGUGAUCCGGUGGUUCUGAAUGGAAGGGCCAUCGCUCAACGGAUAAAAGGUACUCCGGGGAUAACAGGCUGAUACCGCCCAAGAGUUCAUAUCGACGGCGGUGUUUGGCACCUCGAUGUCGGCUCAUCACAUCCUGGGGCUGAAGUAGGUCCCAAGGGUAUGGCUGUUCGCCAUUUAAAGUGGUACGCGAGCUGGGUUUAGAACGUCGUGAGACAGUUCGGUCCCUAUCUGCCGUGGGCGCUGGAGAAUUGAGGGGGGCUGCUCCUAGUACGAGAGGACCGGAGUGGACGCAUCACUGGUGUUCGGGUUGUCAUGCCAAUGGCACUGCCCGGUAGCUAAAUGCGGAAGAGAUAAGUGCUGAAAGCAUCUAAGCACGAAACUUGCCCCGAGAUGAGUUCUCCCUGAGACUUUAAGUCUCCUGAAGGAACGUUAAAGACGAUGACGUUGAUAGGCCGGGUGUGUAAGCGCAGCGAUGCGUUGAGCUAACCGGUACUAAUGAACCGUGAGGCUUAACCU